rnacentral:lncRNA from 1 species
CCUCUGGAUUCAUGGUCCCAUGCAAUCAUUAUGGACAACUAGGUGCUUUUGGAAAAUGGUGCUUCAAAAGCCUUUAUAAAGCGAUGGGCCCAUUAAUUAUUGCUUCAAGUAUUAGAUACAGAGGUUGUCGCUCCCCCAAAGGGAAUCGAAUUGAGGGAACGCCCCUCACUAACGGAUAGCCGUUGUGGAAAUGAGCUGGC